rnacentral:rRNA from 1 species
UACAGAGGUCCCGAGCGUUGUUCGGAUUCACUGGGCGUAAAGGGUGCGUAGGUGGCGAGGUAAGUCGGAUGUGAAAGCUCGGAGCUCAACUCCGAAAUGGCAUUGGAAACUACCUUGCUCGAGGGUUGGAGGGGGGACUGGAAUUCUUGGUGUAGCAGUGAAAUGCGUAGAUAUCAAGAGGAACACCCGUGGCGAAGGCGGCUCUCUGGGACGUGACUGACGCUGAGACGCGAAAGCGUGGGGAGCGAACAGG